GUCCGCACCGUAAACGAUGAUCACUUGGUGUUGGAGGUAUUGACCCCUUCAGUGCCGAAGCUAACGCGUUAAGUGCUCCGCCUGGGAAGUACGGUCGCAAGAUUAAAACUCAAAGAAAUUGACGGGGGCCCCGCACAAGCGGUGGAGCAUGUGGUUCAAUUCGAUGCAACGCGAAAACCUUACCUGGGUUUGAAGUGCUAGUGAAUGUGGUAGAGAUAUCACAGGCCUUCGGGACACUAGUAUCAGGUGCUGCAUGGCUGUCGU
rnacentral:rRNA from 1 species